AGGAUUCCCCUAGUACUGCGAGUGAAGCGGGAAAAGCUCAAAUUUAAAAUCUGGCAGUCUCUGGCUGUCCGAGUUGUAAUCUAGAGAAGUAAUGCCCGUGCUGGACCGUGUAUAAGUCUCCUGGGAUGGGGCGUCAUAGAGGGUGAGAAUCCCGUCUUUGACACGGACUACCAGUGCAUUGUGGUAUGCUCUCAAAGAGUCGAGUUGUUUGGGAAUGCAGCUCAAAAUGGGUGGUAAAUUCCAUCUAAAGCUAAAUAUUGGCGAGAGACCGAUAGCGAACAAGUACCGUGAGGGAAAGAUGAAAAGAACUUUGGAAAGAGAGUUAAACAGUACGUGAAAUUGCUGAAAGGGAAACGCUUGAAGUCAGUCGCGUUGGCCGGGAAUCAGCCUUGCUUUUGCAUGGUGUACUUUCUGGUUGAUGGGUCAGCAUCAAUUUUGACCGCUGGAAAAAGACCUGGGGAAUGUGGCAGCUUCGGCUGUGUUAUAGCCCCUAGUCACAUACAGUGGUUGGGAUUGAGGAACUCAGCACGCCGCAAGGCCGGGUUUCGACCACGUUCGUGCUUAGGAUGCUGGCAUAAUGGCUUUAAGCGACCCGUCUUGAAACACGGACCAAGGAGUCUAACAUGCCUGCGAGUAUUUGGGUGGAAAACCCAAGUGCNNAAUGAAAGUGAAAGUUGAGAUCCCUGUCNUGGGGAGCAUCGACGCCCGGACCAGAACUUUUGGGACGGAUCCGCGGUGGAGCAUGUAUGUUGGGACCCGAAAGAUGGUGAACUAUGCCUGAAUAGGGUGAAGCCAGAGGAAACUCUGGUGGAGGCUCGUAGCGAUUCUGACGUGCAAAUCGAUCGUCAAAUUUGGGUAUAGGGGCGAAAA
rnacentral:rRNA from 1 species